AUGGAGAGGAAACUGGGAGCUGUGCUGGGGAUUCUGUGGAUGCAUAUUUGCUGGGUGCGAGGUGUUGAGGUGCAGCAGAGUCCUUCAGCUCUGAAACUCUACGAGGGAACCAGUUCUGCUCUGUCAUGCAAUUUUUCUACCACCAUCAUGAGUUUGCAAUGGUUCCAGCAGAAUCCCAGGGGCAGCUUCAUCAAUCUUUUUUACCAGGCUCCAGGAACAAAGGCAAAGGGGAGGUUAAAGUCUACAUUUGACUCCAAGGAGCGGUACAGCACCCUGCACAUCAGGGAUACCCAGCUGGAGGACUCAGGCACCUACUUCUGUGCAGCAGAGAGAGUUCACAACACCAACUAUCAUAAUCCUAGCUUCUUGAUAGUGGAUGGUACAAAAUUACUUGAGAUUGGAACAAGCAAUCAGGCCCAGAAAGAGGGUGCUCUGAAAAGGCUUUCUAACUGA